UACGUAGGGACCAAGCGUUGUUCGGAAUUACUGGGCGUAAAGGGCGCGUAGGCGGCCUACUAAGUCGGACGUGAAAUCCCUCGGCUCAACCGGGGAACUGCGUCCGAUACUGGUGGGCUCGAAUCCGGAGAGGGAUGUGGAAUCCAGGUGUAGCGGUGAAAUGCGUAGAUAUCUGGAGGAACACCGGUGGCGAAGGCGGCAUCCUGGACCGGUAUUGACGCUGAUGCGCGAAAGCCAGGGAGCAAAGCGGG
rnacentral:rRNA from 1 species